UGUGAGAUGGCUGAUUUAAUAGUGGUAGAUUGUAAAUCUUCUUAUGGAGUGUAUCCUCUCAUAA
rnacentral:tRNA from 1 species